AUUGAACGCUGGCGGCAUGCUUUACACAUGCAAGUCGAACGGUAACAGGUCUUUCGGGAUGCUGACGAGUGGCGAACGGGUGAGUAAUGUAUCGGAACGUGCCCAGUAGUGGGGGAUAACUACUCGAAAGAGUGGCUAAUACCGCAUGAGAUCUCUGGAUGAAAGCGGGGGACCGUAAGGCCUCGCGCUACUGGAGCGGCCGAUAUCAGAUUAGGUUGUUGGUGAGGUAAAGGCUCACCAAGCCGACGAUCUGUAGCUGGUCUGAGAGGACGACCAACCACACUGGGACUGAGACACGGCCCAGACUCCUACGGGAGGCAGCAGUCGAGAAUAUUCCCCAAUGGCCGAAAGGCUGAGGGAGCGACGCCGCGUGCAGGAAUAAGGCC
rnacentral:rRNA from 1 species